UAAUUACAGUGUUGUUGCAGGCGACCAAUUGACUUGACUAAUGUGAAACCGCACGCUAUGGGGCACAAGUAGCAACUGUCGGUCUAUAGAAUUCAAACACCCAUUGCACACUUAUGGCGACUAGAUUUUGAGUGCAGUCGGCUAUAGCAACUGUUGCGCUGUUGUUAGGAGAGUUGCGUGCUCUUGAACAAUGUGUACCUAUGAAAUAGGCAUGAUAAAAUUUUUAGUAUUUUUUAAUAUAUAUAUUAUUUCCAUUUCUCUAAAUUGUACCGCAAACUUCUACAUAAAAUGCUUAGAUAUUUAAAAGAAUAAUCAUCAUAGCAAAAGCCACUUUGCUAACGUAACCGAACGCACGAUCAGUUGGUGAGAGAUAAGAUGACGGGAGAGCGAAAACAUGUUAGAGAGCAAAAUAUCAGAGGUUAGAAAGUGAGUUGAGAUGAUGAGCAUUUGCCUUUAGUUUACUCUUUCGUUGCAUUUUUGUAAGAUAAGCGAGAGAGAGAGAGAGAGAGAAUCAGGUGAGUGCAUGCUAGCAGGUAUUCUGAAGAGUUCAAUUAACCUGUUGCACUUUUCUAUAUUUGCUUUCAUUUACUCCUUCUUUGCACUCACUUUGAAACGUGCUCUCAAUAGCGGUUUGUACGGCGUGCUCAGCGUUUACUUACUUGUUCUUCGAGAUGCACUAAAUUUAUCUUUAGCAGGUCAAUGAACUUCGCCGUAUCAAGCAAUCUUGCCACGUUGUGAGAAAGAAAUGUUUAUUCGGGAUCUGCCUCAAAUAAUACCGCAUCCAAUAUCACAACCAAAUUUGAUGGCAAAUAUCUUUACCAAAGCCAGUUUGAGAUUUAUUUAGUGUUUUUAGUUUAAAGUAGAAAAGUGUUUAUUUAGUAUUUUUUCAAAUAAAAAUAUUACAAUUUUUUUAGAAAACUUCUAACGAUGUAGAAAAUUACUGUGAUUAAAUAUCUUUAAUUAUAAUCGGAUGUGUUGUUGUUUAAAAAAUUGUAUUCGAGUUUUUUUUGAUUU